GGAUGUGACAGCAAGGUAAUAGGAACACAAAUGGCCAUGGGCAGUGUGGACUACGGAAUGCGAAGGGAUGAGGCAGGGGUGAAGAUAUUGCUGGAUUAGCAUAGUAGGGAUGAGACCAGUAGCAACGGGGGCACUGGUAGGGAUGGAACUGAAAAUGCGUAGAAGACAAAAUGAAAGCAGGGAGGGACACACGGGAGAUGGGUGAGCAAGGUUACGAAACAACCUCAAAUUAAGCCAAACAACCUCAAGCGUGAGAGAGUAGUUGUCGGAUGCGGUGUGAGGAGAUGAAAAAAAUCAAGGAAGAUUAACGUUGAAACUGUGCUAUUGGACCUGGAUGGAAUCGACUAUGUAAUUAUAUACUAUAAUAUUGGAGAUAAAUCAUAUAAUAUAAUGUUAAUGACCAUGCAAUCAACGUCAUAUCAAAGUAUUUUCAAAUAUAAAUCCAAUUUUACCAAAAGUGUGUUUAGAUUAAGUGUUAGUCAAAGACUAACAAGUUUGAGUUUUCAGCUAUAUAUGUGAGGCAUG
rnacentral:lncRNA from 1 species